rnacentral:rRNA from 1 species
GCGGAAGGCCCUUCGGGGUACUCGAGCGGCGAACGGGUGAGUAACACGUGAGCAACCUGCCCUAGGCUUUGGGAUAACCCUCGGAAACGGGGGCUAAUACCGAAUAUUCACUUGCGGACGCAUGUUUGUGGGUGGAAAGUUUUUCGGCUUGGGAUGGGCUCGCGGCCUAUCAGCUUGUUGGUGGGGUAAUGGCCUACCAAGGCGACGACGGGUAGCCGGCCUGAGAGGGCGACCGGCCACACUGGGACUGAGACACGGCCCAGACUCCUACGGGAGGCAGCAGUGGGGAAUAUUGCACAAUGGGCGGAAGCCUGAUGCAGCGACGCCGCGUGAGGGAUGACGGCCUUCGGGUUGUAAACCUCUUUCAGCAGGGACGAAGCGCAAGUGACGGUACCUGCAGAAGAAGCGCCGGCCAACUACGUGCCAGCAGCCGCGGUAAGACGUAGGGCGCGAGCGUUGUCCGGAUUUAUUGGGCGUAAAGAGCUCGUAGGCGGCUUGUCGCGUCGACUGUGAAAACCCGUGGCUCAACUGCGGGCCUGCAGUCGAUACGGGCAGGCUAGAGUUCGGUAGGGGAGACUGGAAUUCCUGGUGUAGCGGUGAAAUGCGCAGAUAUCAGGAGGAACACCGGUGGCGAAGGCGGGUCUCUGGGCCGAUACUGACGCUGAGGAGC